rnacentral:lncRNA from 1 species
AAGCUCAGGCAGGAGAAGGACAUUCCCUACAAAUUUUUCUGAUCCCCUAGCUGGUGGUCCUCUCCUUAGAGUCAAGUGGCUUUCAGCUCCUCUCAAAUCCCAUUUUUUCAUCGACAGGUUAUAAAGGAGAUGCCAAAGGAUAAAGCACCAGGUGUGGAUGGUUUUCCUGUGGAAUUCUUCACUAGCAACUGGGUACAGGUAGGGUGAAUUCUAAGGUUCCUUAUUCCGGUUGUAAAUAGGAAGAAAGGGAGAAUGGGCACAGCCCCACAGCAGCCUGCGUUUCCGCCCUAAUGGAAUGGAAAAUGAAAGAAGAAUCUGUGUGCACUAUC